rnacentral:rRNA from 1 species
CUUGCUUUCCGCUGACGACCGGCGAACGGGUGCGUAACGCGUAUGCAACUUGCCCUUAACUGGGGGAUAGCCCGAAGAAAUUCGGAUUAAUACCCCAUAACACCAUUAAUUCGCAUGUUUUAAUGGUUAAAGUUUUUCGGUUAAGGAUGGGCAUGCGUGACAUUAGCUAGUUGGUAAGGUAACGGCUUACCAAGGCGACGAUGUCUAGGGGGUCUGAGAGGAUGAUCCCCCACACUGGUACUGAGACACGGACCAGACUCC